ACGUUUGGGUAAUCGCUGCAACGCCAACGUUGUAGAGGAGAGUCCAUGCUCGCACGGCCUGAGAUGGCUGUAGUGUUCGUGCCUAGCCAAUUCAUAAGCUAGGGUAUUCUGGCUGUAAGGCUGGUUUAACGGCAGGGAAAAAACCUAAGUCCUUUCGGAUAUGGUUUGACUACCUUUAAAGUGCCAC
rnacentral:RNase_P_RNA from 1 species